GGAAACAUUUUCUCCUGUCUGUGUGAGGAGAUGCUUUGCUCUGUUUUUUUUCCCUAUAGGCCUAUUGUACCUUGCAUGCUAUAUUUCCACUAUCGAGUUUGGCAGGUGUAGCUUGCAGGCUUAUAAAUGAUUUGUUAAGAAAUUACCUGGAGACUAUUGUGUCUGAUGCAAAUAUAAACACGUCAGCUGCAGUUUUCCUCUUACAAAGGAGAUGGCAAAAAGGCAGCCCUUGAAAAACUGAGAAAAAUGCAUAGCUCCUUUAUAUGUUAAGCAAGACAACUUUCCUGGGAUUGCAGCCACUGGCACUGUGACACAUAGCAGAAUUCUGAAGCAAAUCUUUAUCAGAGAUAAAUACUGUCUGGGAACAGGUGCUCCACUGGAGCAAAUUCUCAUAGCUUCAACAGAGCAGUGGUGGCUGAUCCCAGCAAGGAAUCUGGUCCACUUUUGAGAAGGAAAGGUUUUCCCAAACUGUUUGAUCUCAACACUUGGGCUUUCAUGUUGCCUUGCCCUGGUGAUUAGUUUAGGACUGUAAUCCCUAGACCACCCGGUUGUACAAACCUGAGCAAGUGUAAGCAGUGUGCUGUUAGCAGUGAACUCUGAUGGCCAGUUUCAUCGGAGGAAAGGGAAUGUGGUCCCUUGGAUUGCCUCGCAAAUGGAAACCUUCAGGAGGCAUGAACAUACUUCUAUCUACUAGGAAUGCUACUAGGAAUAGGCCACCUAUUCAAAAGGUGACUGGAGUACACAAAAAGUAAAAACUUGGAAAACAAGACUCAAGGAAGGGAAGAGAAAUGUAAGACAACACUUAGCACUGCUGACUUGUUAAACAUAGUUCUCUCUAAUUUAUGCUGAAGCAAGCCCAGGUCUAUCCUACCUGAAUUUUCUGUCUUUGUUUACAAAGUAACUUGUAUACUUUCUUCUUGACAUAAACUAUGGUAUGUCCGUAGUUAUGCAGCACUUGCAAACAAAAGUGAAACUUUUCCAUCUAGUUCUUUUUGAAUUUGUGGGGUUGUCAAUAUGACUUACGAUAUGAUGCAACUUUUUGUGUCUUGAACGGCAGUAAGUGGCAUCUAUCUAUCUAUCUGGUGUGGAUAUUCAUAGGAAGAGUGAAUUAGAAUGUAGUGACACAAAAGUAAUUUUCACCUCAAUCUCAGUAAAUAAAGCAAAUCUGUCUUCUGUAGGUCAUACUUCUCCUGCUUUGUCUGCCUCAGAGAAUAAAAAUUGAAUUGUUCAAGUGAAAUUAGAACAUCAUGGCCUUGACCUGAACAGGAAUGAAAAAAUUCUACAUCAAGGUAAUCCAACAGUUUAUAGUGGAUCAUUCCUGACCCUUCCUGAUUUGACUAUAUUUCAUAAUGAGAACCAUGUAAGCCAAACACAUAAUGCGUGAUCCAGAAAUGGCUGACUUGGGGAAAUAACUACACUGAUGAUGAACAUCUGUUUUUGAUAUAAAAAUAUUGGGGCAUUUUUGGAAGGAAAAGCUUAUCUUUUGGCUUUUGAUACUCUGCACAAUUUCCGUUCCAUUCAUCAGACCAAUAAAUCUCUGCUAAUUUGCUCCGAAAUAAUGAAGCCGUAAUAAUGAGAAGCUUGACUACAGCAUAUGCUCUAUCAUUGAAAGGCAAGAAGAGUCCACAAAUGCUGUUUUUUUUUCAAAUAAUGAGGAGCCCUAUUCAGGCAGUCCCUGUAAGAAUGCUUAAGUUCCCAGCACCAGUGGAUAACACAGACCUGUCUCCUUUUCCUGGAAAGCAAGAGAUCAGACUGGGAUGCAGACAUAAAACUCCUCUACACCAGUGCUCUCCAGAAAGCAAUUUGGUUUUCUUUUAUUGCUCUACACAUUCCACAAGAACGUUGAGUUUGAACAGGCUUUUUGCUGUGUCUGCGCGUUGAUUUUGUAUUUAUUUUAAUAGUGUGCCUGGUGAUUUUUGCCUGAAUCUAACUAAUGCAUUUGUAAGGUGCUAGCUAGUGUAAUAAAUAAAUAGAUGGCAACCAGCAGAGUGUUGCUGUAAGAGAAGAGAUGAGGCUUGCUGUUUCUGCAAGCAGCUCUCAUUUGUUACUUCAGAGCAAAAAUUGAGCAUAGGAAUUAACAUAAAAGAUCAGUUCAGCCUUUGUGAUACCCUUGUAUUCUGCCUCCUUAAGCUCCUGUGACCCUGGGCACUUCAUACACAAUCCAAAGUGUCUGUGUUGGUGAUCAUGUGAUGUGAGUUUGGGUGUUUUUUGUUGUUUUACUUUGGUUUUGGUUUGUUCUCUUAACCUCAGCGACCAGGUUGACCAAUUACCUGGAAGGAAAAAGAUGUUUUGUGGCCCAUCAAUCUUCUGGAGAUUGUAGUAUUUUUUCCAGCAUACUUUUGGACGUUCUUGAGAACCACAAAAGGGAGAUCUGCUUUUAAUACCCUUGCUGGGGAGAGGAGUGGUAUUUUUUGCUUCUAAAAGCCUUUAUGCCGCUGGUUGUAAUUUGAAGCUUAAAAACAGCAGGCUUAGAAAUAUUUCAAAGCUCUCUAGAGGGCAGAGCCUGCUACUGGAGGCUUAUGGACAGAUUUUUGCUACCAGGUAUGAUAUCAAUCAAGAAUUCCAUUGAUUGCAGUGCUAUUACUCUGGCAUAACCAGGAGCAGAAUGUGACCCUCAGUUUAAUUUCUGAUACGGCUCCUGGAUUUAUUGGAGCUGUGCAUCUCUGCAGGACCUUUCCUGCCUUUGCUGCAGCGGCAGCUUGAUGUAAAUCAGAUUUCCUUGCAGCUGAAAAGAGUACUGAUUAUAUAUGAAGCUCUAACAACAUUUGCUGGAGUUCUAUGUUCCUGGGACCGGCUUAGGCAUUCAACCAGCUUAUCCUUCUGCCUGUGACCCGAAGUAAGAGAAAAGUGUUUUACAGUAGUAAUAAAGAGAUUACGUUAGAUGAAGUUAUUUUCAGUAGCUAUAUCAGGAAGAUUGAGAGUCAAUUAUUCUGGUCAGGUUCAUCUUUAGGACACAAGCAAAGAAGAGGGCUGAGACAUUUAUACUGUACUAGCAAAAAAAGAUUUAAAGAUACUGUGUUUGCACUGACUACUUGGGCCUUAGCACAGGGAAUAACUCUGGAAUAACUCUUGGGGAUGUCAGUGCUCAUAUUUUGGGAGCUGGAGAAUAUUGCUUCCAUCUCUUUUUGGGUGCUUCCUGACUUAUUUGUCUCUUACUCAGCAGAAAAAAAAAAAAGCAGGCUCUGUGGCCUUUGUCACGUGUCACAGUGAAUAUUUGGUAGGGAGAACAGCACUGAGGCUCCUGAUGGUAUUCCUGGGAUGUUUUGUAAACUUCUCUUCUGUUAUAAAAUCUGCUUUCAGAAAACUUUUCAGUGUUCUCUACUGAUCCCACAGAAAUACUGAUGUAUCUCUUAUCUCUCUUUUUUUUUUUUUCUGCAAAGGGAAAUGUUGCUUGAAGAGAUGCUAUAUGCAAUGGCAUGUCAUUCUGCUACCUAUUUUUAAAUAUUCACAUAGACCACAUGUAUUGGAAGGAAAGAUGUCUAUUCUGAGACAGCUGAAUGAGCAAAUUCCUUUUUAAAAGAAACUGAUGAUCACCUGCAGAUGGGGCUGUGCCAUUGGAAGCCAUUGUAAAUCAGAAGCUGUUUCGCUGAACUUCUUACUGGAGCUGUGCAGCACCAUUGCAGAUGAGGAGAUAAUUGUGCCUAAUACACAGUCUUGUUGGCUACCAGCAGCAAACUCAUAUUUCGAGAGUGUGGAGCCUUGCCUGGGGAUUUUUCUUCCCUAUCUUCACCACUGAGUCAUUUAGCUGGCUUUUGGGAUGGAGCUGUUCCUCUGCUCAAGACAAAUUAAAUUGAGGUGCUACACUGAGGUGUCAUUUUGUACAAUAUGACGAGUAACUGAUACAAGUCGCUUGGGAUUUGGCGCUUAUGUGGUACCAUAACAUGUCAAUGCUAUAAGAUGUCUAAAGCCUUGUGAGCUUCAGGAGUGUUCAGGAUUUCAGGAUGACAAAUGGAAUGUCAGAUAUGACUUACUCUGAGACCUUAAAGGAUUCAUGUGGUAUAGCUCUUAACUGUACCUCAAGGUUCUGUAGGAUGUUACCUCUGAAGCUGGCCAAUUUUGAUGACCAAACAAACAUCUGAUUGCCUUUACAACUGGAGAAGUAGCUGAAGUCUAAAUUGAAGUAGUUCUUAAACUACUGUUGAUCAUUCAGUGAGGAAAGGCUAAUAAAUGUGUACAUAAAUAUGUAUAAGAGUUGAUCCCAGUAGUGGAAAUCAUGGUAAUAAUUAUGUAAUAAUAAGCUAGUAAUAAAGAUUAUGGCAAAGGAGUCUCAGCAACUUGAAACAAUACAAGCCAAUGCUUUGCUUCUCCUCACUUUGGCUCAUAUCUUAACAGGAACACGUCCCCAAACGUGUAGAGCUAAUGAAGACAAAAAAAGCUCAAUACUUGUAUAUAACAGUUUGAAAUGCAUGCAUUUAUAAGAGUAAAUGUAUAUUAAAGCAUGGAAAAGUCUCCCCAUCUUUUUCAUGAUUAAGUUUCAUUUGGAUUCAAUGUUCAUACCAUAAAAGUGAUAUUAAACUUGAGGAGAAGGUAUGGGUAUGGCCAUGAUGUUGUCACCUUUAUCUUUAAGUGUACUGAAAUAUCCUAAACCUGACAAAGCACAAAGUCUGGAGAAUUAUCUUAUGGUGAAAGAUGAAACAAAAUAACAUGUCCUCUGUCCUUCACUGUCAACAUGAUGACUUAUAAGCAUUCUUUUUCUCUGCAUUUUCCUCCUAUUAAAAUCAUCCUGUCUGAGCAAAACGGCCUGCGACAGAUGACAAAUAUGGGAUAUUUCAUGGACAAAAAUCACACUCUAAAUUGGAUAUGCUGUGAGAGUAUUGCAACCUGAUAUGCUGAAGCUUAACAGAAAUGCAAAAGACAUUCUUCACUCUGUCAGAUACUGUCUGCCACAUGACUUUCCAUGUAGUUUACUCCAUUAGGCGUAGGAUGAUUUUUCCUUGUUUUGACUCUUCUGGUUGAAAGGUUGGUUACUGUGACUUUAUGUGGAAGAUAACAGCUGCAGAAACUGACCAGUUAAAUAUAUGAUAGCAAAACAGAGGAUACUGUCAUAAACAUAAUACAAUAAGCACGAUAUAAUCUUCAUAGCUUUGCUGUUUCACUUGUUGAGAUUCUGGAGUUCUUCAGUGCAGAAAUUAGCUUCUUGCUUCUACAAAACCCAGGCUGCAAAAUCAUCUUUAUUUAGAAAUUCCAUCCUAUUGUGAAAUACGUUUAUUUAGCAAUGAGAAGGGAAAGUGAAGAGAAAAGGAAGGACCACAUUAAGACUUCAGAGGUAUAAAAAAUAAUCUGUGAGGAGGGAAGUAGUAAUCUAGUUUUUGUACUCCUGGUAGAUAGGACAGGAAGUGCUGAGCUUUAUGAUUUAUCAAAAAAGAUUGGUUUACACACUAGACCUAUCUGUGUGUGUGUGUGUGAGAGAGAGAGAGAGAGAGAGUGUUUAAUGGUAAGGUUUGUGAAGAAAGUGUUCCUGUGUCAGGAUUGUGGAGGAUGGAGUCAAUAAUUUCUUAAGGGCCCUUCCUGCUGUAUUGUUCUAUGAUCUUGUGCCAUGCAUUUUUCUUCAUGUGAAGUAACAUUUUGUUCGUUCGAUGAAUAGAUAGAAAUUCCUUCCCUGUGAAUCCAUUUCUAGUGUUUUUUAGUACGUUAAUUUGAUAGCCAUCUGCCAUUUUUUUUUUAAAUGAGCACUUUGACAAAUCUAUUAUCUCACCUCCUAAAGCAUUAAUUGGAAUCCCUUAGUUCUGAAGCCCUUUCUACGUAGUUGAAGAGUUAUUUAUGGUACCUUUUAGUUGUGAAUAAAUUCCAGGCAUCCAGAGGUGGGGCAUAUUUCUUUGCUAGUGAGUUCUUAUUUUCAUGUGAUAAAGGUCUCCAGUUCUCGAGUUCAUUUUCUCUGAAUGUGACUUUUUUUUUUGUCCAAGACUAUAUCUGAUGACCAGUGCUGUAUGGAUCGCAGCUCCGUUGGUCAGUAGUUUGUGUAAAUUUUCUUUCUUUUGUAUAUGAGGAAAAGGUUUUAUGUGUUAGAGGAAAUAAAUCCUGUUAUGUUGACAUGGUCUCUAUCCUCCAGUGAUUAUCUGCGCUUCAGAGGUUUGAGUAGGCUGUAAAGACUGCCUAACUGCCUUGCUCAAGGUCUUCUCAGAGGAAGGAAACUUCAGGCUUUAGAGUCCAUCCAGCUAUUCCAUGUCACUUGGUCUCAGGACUACUUGGAGCAUUGGUAGUGGGAAGUGCGAAAACAUAAGAAUAAUUUAGAGCAACUUCAAAUGUCUGAAUAGUGGAGAGGGUGCAUAAACCAUAACUUUUCUCCCUCUUGGGACUGACUUCAGCUCAGCUAAACCCAAAGUUUUGGGCUUCCGUGUUUAGGUGCAUUCUGUGUUUACUGUGUUUGAUUGCCAAAGCCCUGAUGAUUAGCAGUGACUGGGAUGUAAAAUCUAAUCCAUGAGGGAUUUCUGAAAACUGAGAUAAUGCACAUUAAGAUGACUGACUAUGGCCUGAUUAGUAACAAUACAGGGAAUACAGGGUCAGAUUGUUUUUCUUGUUGUUUUUUUUUUUCCCCCUGUUUUUUUUUUUGUUUGUUUGUUUGUUUUGUUUUUUGGUAGUAUGACUAGUAACCUAAGUGCAGGAUCUCAAACACACAAGCACAUUGCAAAAUUCUCCCUUUUAGCUUACUCGAUCAAUUUACAGAAUACAACGCAUGACUGCCUAAGCAUCUUUCUGCAAUACAGAUAGUUUAUGGCCAGUUUCAAUUUAAGAGACAUAUACUGAAUGUGUCAUGCAAACAGUAGUGCAAUUUUGUUAGGAUUUCUGAAAUAAGAGUUUAAAAUAUUCCUAUAUCAUAUGUGUGGUGUUCAGAAUCUACUAAUUGUGUUUUUGUACUUCAGGAUGGCAUAUUAAGAAAUACUAAUUUUUGGCCUGGAAGAUGUUGAGUACAUAGUCACUGACAAUUGUUAACUAUUGAAAGAGGGGCUUGUUUGAAUAGUGCCGCAAUUCUACAAUAAAACAGAAUUUUAGUUAAAAGCCUAUUUUGGAAUAAAUAAAUAGUGCUAAUAUACACAAGAUAAAAGAAGGCAACACAGCAGUCAAAGCAAUCAAAGACAUUAGGAAGUUCAGUAAACUGGAAUGAGAUUCUUUGCUUACUAGGAAAAAAUCAUGAUAUGUCAAUAGGGUUUUACAGGCUAGUAUCUACAAAAAUUUUAAAGAGUAUUAGAAAUAAAAUUAGGAAAAUGAUACAGAACAGUUGUUUUGGGUGGAAAUUUUGCUGUUAGCCAAGGCAAACCCACCACACCUGUUAGUAAGUGGAAGGGAAGAUGUCAAUAACUGAUGCAGGCAUGGCAGAGGUAUUUCAUUAAAAUCUUCUGUGUAGAGAAAGAAAAGAAAUAAUAUGCAUAAUACUUCUUGAAGAUGUGGGGGUACUUUUCAAUCCAAUGGUAAUUUUGAGGAGGUUGUUGAAUGAUGUCUCUUAGAGAUUAACACCCAGACUUGCUGACUUAAGAUGACUUUUAUCAAUGAUAGAAAAGAGUUGCAUGAAAUUGUAUUUUUUUAUUCUCCAUACUUCGUGGAUUUGGGAAGUCUUACAAUUACUGUUUCAAGACAAACUUGGUGGUAUGGACUGUAAAAAUCCUGUUAGCAUAAUGUCUACCUCAGACUCUAUAUUAGGCAAAUGAUGUAGAUUUAAUUUAUAAGGAAUUGAUACAUUUACAUAAAAGUAAAUGCUAGUAGAUAUGAAUUUUGAAGAAUGUCAAAAUAGGUGUUACUGAUUAAGCACUUCAAUAUCUGUGAAGAUAUAAUAGACCUUGUAAUAUUGUGGUUGCCUGAAGAUGUAGCACUCAUUGGAUUUGUCACUGUACCUUUAG
ensembl:lncRNA